GACGAACGCUGGCGGCGUGCUUAACACAUGCAAGUCGAACGAUGAACUUGGAGCUUGCUCUGGGGGAUUAGUGGCGAACGGGUGAGUAACACGUGAGUAACCUGCCCUGGACUCUGGGAUAACUUCGAGAAAUCGGAGCUAAUACCGGAUAGGACCUUGCACCGCAUGGUGUGGGGGGGAAAGUUUUUCGGUUUGGGAUGGAAUCGCGGCCUAUCAGCUUGUUGGUGAGGUAAUGGCUCACCAAGGCGUCGACGGGUAGCCGGCCUGAGAGGGUGAGCGGACACACUGGGGCUGGGGAACGGCCCAGACUCCUAAGGGAGGCAGCAGUGGGGAAUAUUGCACAAUGGGCGUAAGCCUGAUGCAGCAACGCCGCGUGCGGGAUGACGGCCUUCGGGUUGUAAACCGCUUUUAGUAGGGAAGAAGCCUUCGGGUGACGGUACCUGCAGAAAAAGGACCGGCUAACAACGUGCCAGCCGCCGCAGUAAAAC
rnacentral:rRNA from 1 species